AACGAACGCUGGCGUGAGUCUUAACAAAAGCAAGUCGAGCGAGAUCUUCGGAUCUACUGGCAGACGGGUGAGGAACACGUGGGAACAUCCCUUUCAGUACGGAAUAACGUAGGGAAACUAACGCUAAUACCGGAUACGUCCUUCGGGAGAAAGAUUUAUCGCUGAACGAUUGGCCCGCGUCUGAUUAGCUAGUUGGUGAGGUAACGGCUCACCACGGCUACGAUCAGUAGCUGAUCUGAGAGGAUGAUCAGCCACAUUGGGACUGAGAACACGGCCCAAACUCCUACGGUAGGCAGCAGUGGGGAAUAUUGGACAAUGGGCGCAAGCCUGCUCCAGCCAUGCCGCGUGAGUGAUGACGGCCUUCGGGUUAUCAAGCUCUUUUGUCCGGGAAUAUCCUGCCUGUACCGGAAGAAUAAGCCCCUCCUUCCUUCGUGCCAGCAGCCGCGGUAAGAC
rnacentral:rRNA from 1 species